rnacentral:rRNA from 1 species
CAGUCGCCGCGGUAAAACGUAGGUGGCAAGCGUUGUCCGGAAUUAUUGGGCGUAAAGGGCUCGCAGGCGGUUUCUUAGGUCUGAUGUGAAAGCCCCCGGCUCAACCGGGGAGGGUCAUUGGAAACUGGGAAACUUGAGUGCAGAAGAGGAGAGUGGAAUUCCACGUGUAGCGGUGAAAUGCGUAGAGAUGUGGAGGAACACCAGUGGCGAAGGCGACUCUCUGGUCUGUAACUGACGCUGAGGAGCGAAAGCGUGGGGAACGUACAGGAUUAGAUACCCCUGUAGUCCCUGUCUCUUAUAC